rnacentral:rRNA from 1 species
AUGCAAAGUAGUGGAAGUCAGGCAGGUAGCAGUGGGCAGGCUGGCGCUGGCAAAAACAAGAAGCAGAGGAAGCCCGCUGGUAAGUCUGAGCAGAAAAAGGCUGAAGACACAGAUCAAAGCGCAGACUCUGGGGAGUUUCAUAUUGAUCCCAAGUUUGCUGGUGCUAUAUGCUACAACUGCGGUUUGCCUGGCCAUUUCGUGGGGAUGUGUUCUAUCCCAAAGAUCUAUUUCAUAUGCAGGAACCCUGGCCACCAUAUGGAUGUUUGCCCUACUUGGUACAAAACCUAUCCUUUUAGCCAGUACUUGGGCAGUGCAAACAGUGGACUGGGGUUUUACCAUAUUGAGACUGGAGAGAAAAGUGAUGCAGAUUGGCUUAAUUUUGAUAAUGUUGGGUUGGUGUAUGUUCAAGAGGGUGAGAUAAGUGCCCAAGAACUAGAGAAAUGCUUUGCUGAUAUGUGGAUGACAAAUUGGCCAUGGCAGAUUAGAGCAUAUGAUGAAAAGCAAUAUCUGGUCAGAUUUCCACCCAACAAAAAGAUUCAGGAACUGGUUGAGUAUCCAUCUAUUAAUCUUAAGAAGAAGGGAGUAACCAUUCUAUUUAGAGACUGGAAUGGAGAGCUUCCAGCCUAUGACAGUUUACAGGAAAUCUGGAUUGAGAUUGGAGGGCUGUCACCAAAGUGGUGUUCUUGGAAUGUAAUUGCUCAGAUCACAUCCUCUCUGGGUUUCUUAAUGAAUGUAGACUGGCAUGGCAUUUUCAGAAGCUUUUAUGAAAAAAUUAGGGUCCAAGUUGCUGUGAGAGACCCUACAAGGAUUCCCGAGGACAGAAUGUUUGAAUUUUGUCAAGAGCUUUUCCUGUUGACUUUCAAAGUGGAGGAUGACACUCUCAUGGCCUCCCCACAUGACCCUAGUGAUCCUGGUGAAGAUGAUUAA